UUAGCAUGGAUUUGUGGUACAGGAAACACUCACAUCAGCUAUUUUAACCAUUAGUCACCUAUUGCAUAUAUUGACUGUAUUAAAUAGCAAUCAGAAGUUUGUUUUUGUCAGCAUAGCAGCUAUCAGCAAAGAUUUAAGAAGCUGGCAGAUUUUUCUUGUGUAUGUUUWAAAUUCUUAUUGUUACAGUUGUGGCUGUUCUGUUUGAAAGGCACUUACUGAAAGUUUUUGCAGGCAGCCGUCUCUCUACAAGUCCGGGAUGCCAGGAUAAUCCUCUAAUAAAAGAGGCAAAACAUAUCAGUGGGCUUCCUACUCCUUUUAGAAUAGGAAUUUCUCAGGCUACAACCAAAAGUUACAUGUGAAUGUUUGCCACUUCUUUAAAUGCUUAGUUAAAAUAUGUGUAUUCUGUCGUYGUAUGUGUCUAAUGGAUCACUUCUUACAUGUGUUUUCUAGAGGAAAAAGAAGUGGAUCCAGAAAAGAAAAAUGGAAAUUACUCAGGAUUUUAGAAGAGGUUGGCAAAAAGGUGUAUUUUUUGGAAAGUGCAGGAAGACUGAAAGGGUUCAAGCAGCAACAUUCUCAAACAGAAUCUGAUGGUUCCGGCUACUACUAA
rnacentral:lncRNA from 1 species